UCUGUGAUGGAUAAGGGGAGUAAUAAAACGUUGGGAAACGUGAAAAACCUGGUGGAUAAAAUGAUAUACACAAAGGCAGCUGAUGAUUGUUUCUACAGAAAGCCACUGAUUUGAUUUUUGAUUUAGUUUUUGUCAAGUGGUUAUUUUAAUCAGAAAGCUAUUAAUUUGGAGGCAGGUAACCGCUUUGAAAUAGAAGUGUUUUUAGAAAAUGCAAAAAUUGAAAAGAUGGCGGAAAACAAACGUCUUUGGAGAAGAACCGAAGGCGACAGGUUGAAAGCACGGCUAAAGAGAACGGAGACUUUGGAACCGAGAACGUCCAGAUGUCACAGCUGCCCGGGGUGGAGAGGAGUUAGCAGGCGGAACCCGAACGGCACAGGCACCGCUCGCCUGCCUCGCAGCUUUCUAGUACUGCAGUUACAUCAAAUAUCACCAUUGGAGGAAGCGGAGUGAAGAGGAUAAGGAACUUCAUGUGCUAUUUUUGCAACUCCU